GAUGAACGCUGGCGGCGUGCCUAAUACAUGCAAGUCGAGCGAACAGACGAGGAGCUUGCUCCCCUGACGUUAGCGGCGGACGGGUGAGUAACACGUGGAUAACCUACCUAUAAGACUGGGAUAACUUCGGGAAACCGGAGCUAAUACCGGAUAAUAUAUUGAACCGCAUGGUUCAAUAGUGAAAGACGGUUUUGCUGUCACUUAUAGAUGGAUCCGCGUCGCAUUAGCUAGUUGGUAAGGUAACGGCUUACCAAGGCAACGAUGCGUAGCCGACCUGAGAGGGUGAUCAGCCACACUGGAACUGAGACACGGUCCAGACUCCUACGGGAGGCAGCAGUAGGGAAUCUUCCGCAAUGGGCGAAAGCCUGACGGAGCAACGCCGCGUGAGUGAUGAAGGUCUUCGGAUCGUAAAACUCUGUUAUUAGGGAAGAACAAAUGUGUGAGUAACUAUGCACGUCUUGACGGUACCUAAUCAGAAAGCCACGGCUAACUACGUG
rnacentral:rRNA from 1 species